rnacentral:rRNA from 1 species
UGCAAGUCGAGCGAACAGACGAGGAGCUUGCUCCUUUGACGUUAGCGGCGGACGGGUGAGUAACACGUAGGUAACCUACCUAUAAGACUGGGAUAACUUAGGGAAACCGGAGCUAAUACCGGAUAAUAUUUCGAACCGCAUGGUUCGAUAGUGAAAGAUGGCUUUGCUAUCACUUAUAGAUGGACGUGCGCCGUAUUAGCUAGUUGGUAAGGUAACGGCUUACCAAGACAACGAUACGUAGCCGACCUGAGAGGGUGAUCGGCCACACUGGAACUGCGACACGGUCCAGACUCCUACGGGAGGCAGCA